rnacentral:lncRNA from 1 species
GGAAAAGAGAAGCAGCAUUUACUUAAGAGAGACCAAGUUACCCCCAAAGACACUGUUUGAACCAAACUAAUCCUAUCUAUUAUUUACUGGCAAGUCUAAAUCUCCCCUUCGUGCACCCAGCAGGGCAGGGGCAUAUGAGAAAGAUUAGAUUUUAGAAAACAGAAGCUCCAUUGUCUUUGCAUUGUCUGACUUACAGGGUGAGUAAACAUGCAUCCCUGCUUUAAUUUUUCUUGUGCUUUAGACUAUAGGGCAGGCAUAUAAAGUGUCCAGUUACAGUUAGCCCUUCACUCAAGUCAGAUAUACCCUCACCACUAGCAGUACAGCAGGAAAUGGGAGCCUUCGUGACAGGAGCAGCAGCAAUCCAAGGCAGACCAGUGUGCAGUGGUCAAUGGGCAGGACCCACAGUAGAGCAAGAAGGAGACCAGCAGCAGACAUCAUGGGACUGUGGUUGGAUGAACACUGCAGGGGGCUUGCAACAAAAUGAUUUCUCAGUUAGGACCUCCUGGUUGCUACUGACAGAAAACCCAUGCUACAUUAGGUUGCUAGCAUUUGAUAACCAAAAUAAAAAUUUGUUUCUUUCUGACAUAAAAGUCUGAGUGUAAGCGGUCCUAUGCUGAUAGUUCAAUGCCAUAGUGUCGAGAUCCCAGGCCCUUCCCAUCUUGUGUCUACCAUCCUCAGCAUGCAGCUCUUGGUUCCCAUCACCACAUUCCUGCAGCAUGAAGAGGAAAAGUAGAGGGCACACACCUUACUGCUGAGGUCAUGAACUAAAAGUUGCAUGUAUAACUUCCUCUUCCAUCCUAAUUCCCAAAAGUUAGUCACAUGGCCACACUUAGGGUCUCAGUUAGUUGUGGCCACAAAAAUGCUGUGUAACACCCACAAAAUAUCAGUGGCAGCCAACAGUAAGCAUUAAUUUCUCGUUCACGUGUCUACAGAUGCACUGGUGUUUGGCUAGUCUAUGUUGGAUUCAGCUGGACAUGGCUCACCACAGCUUGGUUUCAGAUCUCAUCCUCUGGGAUGUACCUCUCCUCCUCUUGCCCUCAGCACGCUCCCCAGGCCACGUGCUCUUCACGGUAAUGACUUCCAUGGUUAUAGCAACAUACAUAUGCCUUGGCCCCAUAUACAGGCAGGCUCUCCCAUCAUGCCCCCAAAUGGCUCCAGAGUGCACGGCCUUUUUCAUUCAAACACAGUGGAAUCUAUCAAAGGAUUCAUUGGGUCUCAUUGACUCUUGUUGGCUCACAUGAACUACCUGAAUGAACCAUAGCGCUCAGCACCAAGAAGUGCUGGUUGGCUUAGAUCUCUUAGAGCUAGGACUGAGUGAAAUCAUGGUGUGGAACUUUGACGACUAGAAGAAACGUUGAUGUCGAACAGCCAAAACUCUGUGCACCCUGUAUCUCUCUCCUCUAAUAUAUGAGGCAGAACUGUUCAAUUUUUUGUACCUAUGGAUUAUCCGGGGAUCCUUUUAGAGAAUCUGAUGAAUUAGGUCUGGAGCGGGGCCUAAGAUUCCUUAUUUUUAACAGGUGAUGUUGAUGCUGCUGGUCCAAGGACCACACUUUGAGUAGCAAGGUUUUAUGGCUACAUAGUCCUGUAUGAUAGCCACCAGCCACAUGUGUGCCUAUUGAGCAUUUGAAGUGUGGCUAGUCUAACUUGAGAUGUGCUGUAAGUGUACAUAUGCACUGGGUUUUGAAGACUGAAAACUAGUUAAAAUCUCAUCAAGAGUUUUCAUAUAGAUUACAUGUUAAAAUGAUAUUUUACAUAUAUUGGGUUAAAUAAAAUAUAUUUUAAAGUUAAU